AACGAACGCUGGCGGCAGGCCUAACACAUGCAAGUCGAGCGGACCCUUCGGGGUUAGCGGCGGACGGGUGAGUAACGCGUGGGAACGUGCCCUUUGCUCCGGAAUAGCCCUGGGAAACUGGGAGUAAUACCGGAUACGCUCUUUUGGGGAAAGAUUUAUCGGCGAAGGGUCGGCCCGCGUUGGCUUAGUUUGUUGGGGGGGUAAUUGCCUACCACGCCGACGUUCCAUAGCUGGGUUGAGAGGAUGCUCAGCCACACUGGGCCUGGGACACGGCCCAGACUACUACAGGAGGCGGCAAUGGGGGAUCUUAGACAAUGGGGGGAGCGCUGAACUAGCCAGGCCGGGUGAGCGAUGAAGGUCGGAGGGUAGUAAAGCUAUUUCACCGGGGAAGAUAAUGACGGUACCCGGAGAAGAAGCCCCGGCUAACUCCGUG
rnacentral:rRNA from 1 species